rnacentral:rRNA from 1 species
UACGUAGGGUGCAAGCGUUGUCCGGAAUUAUUGGGCGUAAAGAGCUCGUAGGCGGUUUGUUGCGUCGGCUGUGAAAUCCCGAGGCUCAACCUCGGGUCUGCAGUCGAUACGAGCAAACUAGAGUGUUGCAGGGGAGACUGGAAUUCCUGGUGUAGCGGUGAAAUGCGUAGAUAUCAGGAGGAACACCUGUGGCGAAAGCGGCUCACUGGACCACAACUGACGCUGAGGCACGAAGGCCCAGGGGAGCAAAACGGG